GAAAAAAAGCAAACAAAAUAGAGCCAAGCAACAAAGCGGGGGUGAACUCACUCAGUGCACUAGAAAACGCGUAAAUGCUAGAGUGCUCUGCCUGUUUCCUUCACUUUCAUGGAAAAUCUUUCGCAUUCUCGGCAACAAAACGUGCUCUCCAAAAAGAGCUGCAUUGGCAGCAGCACCGCCCAGUCCAUUUACGACGACGUGUUCGGCGGGGCCCCCC
rnacentral:misc_RNA from 1 species